ACACCACAGCGAACAAAAUUGCUGGUUUGUAAAACCUUGGAAGAGGCUUUAAGGAAAAUCCAGGAUCUGGAAAUGCAAGAUAAUUUGUGCCUGACUCUAGUACGAAGAAUUUUGGAAAGACGAUUUGGCCUAAAAAGACCUGUAGCAGUUAACAAGCUAUUAGAUGCACAAUAGCACAAAAUGACCACCACCACUAUCACCCUAAAGUGUGUGCUUGGUGUCUGUCUACACGUGCUUGCUUCUGGAAUGUUGAAGAACAAACUGUGUUGAAACGCCAACUGGAGUUGGUCAUGGACCUUUGCCGCCCUUCAUCCAGAGCCUUCCACAGAGAUGGCAGAUAUAUCGCUGCCUGGACCAACAGUUGACCAUGCCGUUGAGUCCAUGAUAUCAGUAGCAGCCAUGAAAACAUCUACAGAAUUACAUCUGCGGCCGUGGCUAUUAAUGGAUACAUUCUGCACCACUUCCAUGUGCUGUCAGUUUGAAACGUCUCUACUCUGACAGAAGGAAGGGAAUGAAUACCCAGGAUUGUUCCUCAGGAAAAUCUCUUCAACAGGCUGUUGUCAGUUUGCAUGCUCUUUGGAUGGAAUUCCCCUACCUUGGCUUGCAGAGAAUCUGUGAUAUAAAAGACCUCUUUUGUGCUGCAUUGUGUCAUUGAUUUAUUGUAUUUUAUAUGUAUUAUGCCACUAUUGUAAAAACAAAUGGGCAUAUGUUUUAGCGUAUGUUUUCAAACAGACACAUUUAUAUUUCAAACAGACACAUUUAUAUUUUUGAAUAAUUUGAAAAUACAUUUUGUAGGUUGACUUCAAUCCAUGAAACAUUAAUGGUAGGUUAUAUUUGACCAGAACAUGACAAGUAUUGUUUUCGGAGUUUUUUGGUCGAAGGUGAAGGUAAUGGCUAACAGUGGUUAUUCUGCACAAUGAACCUUGAAUUCUUUGACCUAGGACCAUUAAUAUUUAGUGAUUGAUAUAUCAGUCCAACUCAUAUGUGAAAGGGACAUGAUGAAAUUGAGCAAGAGCUUAUUAGCAUUGCAAAUUAUCAUUUGUUCAUUUUUAGCUCGACUAUUCGAAGAAUAGGUGGGCUAUACUAUCAUUAACAAUUCUGCGUUAAAGUUUUCAUUUUAUGUAAUAAAAUCAAGAGUUUUUAUCCAAUGGUAAUCAAACUUGGUCAGACUAUUUGUCGGCAUGUUAUCUUGAAGAUGUAUGAAUAUGGGUCAUCCCUGGUCAAAUUCUAGGUCACUAGGUCACAUCUUAGAGAAAAUAUUUCCAUGUCAUAAAUUCAACAUUUUUUUCAUAUCUUUAUGAAACUUGGUCAGAAUAUUUGUCUGCAUACUAUCUUGAAAGUUUUUUAAUAUGGGUCAUCCCGGGUCAAAUUCUAGGUCACUAGGUCAAAUCUUAGGAAAAUCAUUCCACAUCAUAAAUUGAACAAUUUUUGUCAAAUCUUUAUGAAACUUGGUCAGAAUAUUUGUCUGCAUAAUAUCUUAAAAGUUCUAUAAUAUGGGUCAUCCCCGGUCAAAACCUAGGUCACAAGGUCAAAUUUUAGAAGAAAGAAUCCCACAGUCAUAAAAAUUCAUUAAUUUUAGUCAAAUCUUUUUUAAACUUGGUCAGAAUAUUUGUCUACAUGUUGUCUUAAUCAUUUGUGAAUAUAGGUCACCUCAGAUCAAAAACUAGGUCACUAGGUUAAAUCUUAGGAAAUACUUUCCUGAUGUCAUAAAAAAAAUCCAUGCUUACCAAAGCUAUCCAUAUCAGUUAAUAACUAAAUUCAAUUGUUAUUUUAUAAACACACAUCCCAAUCAUGAAUUUCAGAUCUAACCAUAUUUUUCAAAAAUUUAAAUUUUAAUUAACUUUAAAAAUAUUUGUGUACAUGAAAUCUUAGAUGAUAAAGUGUGUCAUCUAGGGUCAAAAACUAGGUCUCUGGGACAGA